rnacentral:misc_RNA from 1 species
CUCCAUGUCAGCAUUUUUUUAGACAUCGUUAAACAUUUUAUCAUUGAAAUGCUAGUGAUCCAAUAUUAUAAGUUCUGACUUGUAACACAAAAAAUUCUUCAAGCCCUCAAUAACAAAAGCUCUAAACCACAAUAUAGCUAAAUGUACUUUACCCUUAAAGGUUUUAGGAAUUUUAUUUUAAUUUCAAAGAGCACAUAGUAGUAGAAAAUAUUAUUUUCGGCUAGUUGCCACAUAAAUUCCAUCAAUUUAAAUUUUGAUAAUUUGAUCAAAUUACUAAUUUACCUUUAAAUUUGCUAAAAUUAGAAGUAUAGAACAUAAUUAUAAAAACGCAAAAAAAAAUAUAUAUUUUUACCAUUAUGCCUAAGUAAAUUAGAAAGUUUGCAAAUUUAUAAAUGCAGAAUCUCAUUCAUUGUGCUUCUUGGUUUCAAGG